rnacentral:rRNA from 1 species
AGCCUGACGCAGCAACGCCGCGUGGGGGAUGAAGCUUCUCGGAGUGUAACCCCUUUCGACCCGGACGAAUGCCCGCAAGGGCUUGACGGUACGGGUAUAAGAAGCCCCGGCUAACUACGUGCCAGCAGCCGCGGUAAAACGUAKGGGGCCAGCGUUGCUCGGAAUUACUGGGCGUAAAGGGUCCGUAGGCGGUGCGGCAAGUCGGAAGUGAAAUCUCCGGGCUUAACCCAGAGGCUGCUUCCGAAACUGCCGUGCUAGAGUGCGAGAGAGGCGAGUGGAAUUGCGGGUGUAGCGGUGAAAUGCGUAGAUAUCCGCAGGAACAUCCGAGGCGAAGGCGGCUCGCUGGAUCGCAACUGACGCUGAGGGACGAAAGCUAGGGGAGCAWACAGGAUUAGAUACCCUGGUAGUCCUAGCCCUAAACCAUCAGGACUUGGGGUUUGCCCUGUACGGGGCAAGUCCCGUAGCUAACGCGUUAAGUCCUGCGCCU